GAUGAAGAACGCAGCGAAAUGCGACAAGUAAUGUGAAUUGCAGAAUUCCGUGAAUCAUCGAAUCUUUGAACGCACAUUGCGCCCCUUGGUAUUCCGAGGGGCAUGCCUGUUCGAGCGUCAUUAUAACCCCUCAAGCUCAGCUUGGUGUUGGGGCCUGCCGCACGGGCAGCCCUUAAAAUCAGUGGCGGUGCCAUCUGGCUCUAAGCGUAGUAAUUCUUCUCGCUAUAGAGUCCCGGUGGAUGCUUGCCAUUAACCCCCAAUUUUCUAUGGUUGACCUCGGAUCAGGUAGGGAUACCCGCUGAACUUAAGCAUAUCAAUAAGCGGAGGA
rnacentral:misc_RNA from 1 species